UCCAUCUACCCCACCACUAUACUGUCUCAACAACCCGAAAUCCCUUUUCCUUGUCAACUAGCAGACGGCUGUGAGAAAGGAGGCAACUAGCAGCAAAUGAAUAUUUCUUGAUUUCUUAACACAUCUUCCACCAUAAUCAGAGGUAGUGUAAACUAGUGUUGCCUCUUUCUUCGACAGUAGAAGCGAAGUGGUAGUCUAUAUGACUCUUGAUCGCCAAUGACAAAAUAUACAGAUAGCAGCAGAUCUCGAAGACAUCAGCCCAUUCACAUCUCCCACAACUUGUAGCUAGUGGAAGACAGCAUUUUUCCCUUUCUGCUGCCAAAGAACACCAUUUUGACACAAGCAUAGAAGAAACGACCCUAGUCGUGUAAUAGUAACAUUGGUGCCAGCUAUAAACAAACCUCCUCCACAAUCACACCACUCUUCAACUGUGCGAGUGGACGGCACCAUGGAUCUAUUAUUUUCUCUGAUACAAGCUUUUCGGUUGAAGACGGUCUUUUCCUGAACUUGGGUACACCUUGUGGUUUAUCUAACUGAUUUUUUUUUCGUAUCUUACUACAGACGUCGCCCCAUGUCGCCAUACGGGGGACAUGGGACGUAAAAAUGGGAUCCUAUCAACUUGUUCUGACUUAGGAUAAUAAGCUCAUGAGCUUGGUCUUACUUCAACAUCGAGAAACGAAAGAAGACUGUCAUCUGAACUCGUCUAGCUUCAAUGCCUCUCACGUUCGGAGUUAGACUGGGGCCCGUAAGAAUGUACAAUGAAAUUUGUACGAAACGAAGAUAUUUUGUUGCUUGCAGGAUGGUCAUUGUCGAAAGGACACCGGAAUGGGAAGUGUUUCAUGAAACACGGCUGGAAGACACUAAUUUACUUGUUCAAUUCCAACUCCGGCCACAAUUGGAAUAAGCAACAACUAAAAAAUUGAUGGGAUGCUCUCCGCCUAAAACACAAAAGAUUCGAGGAAUUGUUGAAUUGCAGUAGUAUUGCAUACAACCCAUCAACUGGCAGAAUUUGUGCUUAUGGGGAGUGGUGGGCUCGAAAGAUCAAGGAGAACAAAGACUACAAAGAAUUUAAGGACAAAGACUGUCGAGUGGUGUACGGUUACAAGGCUCUAUUCGGCGACACGUCAGACAGUGAUAAGUAUGUAGUCACACCAACAAAGCUCUGUCGAACUAGCGUCGCGAUGUUUGAAGAUAGUAGAUAUGAAGACCAUGUGACAAGGUAUCAGCUGAUGUCGAUAGCAGCUGUUCAAGUGACGAGCCUGAAAAAAGAUAUGGCUAAAGCAAGCAUGGAUGUGUCGAUCCCGUACAACGGAGACAAAUGAAAAGCAGAUACCAGGAAGAAAAAUGAGGAGAAGAAAAAUUUCACUCUUGAUCUUUCCUACUUAGUUAAUCACGCACAAUGGCCGGUGAGAGGGACGCUACCAAAAUCGACAACUUCGUCAGACCUGUUGUGCCGUACCCAAAGACAUGUAUGAAAGAGUUAUUAGUGACUGGUAGACUGAAAAACAAACUGAUCUCUACUUAUGAAUGUGUACCUUCUUAUCUCGAAAGCGCAAAUGGGAGAUAUUGGACAUGUAGGACGAUGCGAAUGAAAAAUUUAAGUGGGUCGAGUGGAAUGACAGGAGUACCGAAAAGCAUAGUAGCGAUAAGAGCUUAAUGUGACAUUCGAAAUGGAGCCCCGUGAAAUUUGUUCCAUGAGAAAACAUUUGGUGGAAUUUCGUUAUGUUUUAAUUUUGUAUGUUUGAUAGACUGCUUCAUGCUAUGUAUAUGGUAGUGCUAAACACUUUGGUUCGCAUAUAUUGUCACCAUGCUUGCCUUCAAAGACUUUGAUUUGCAUA